ACCCAGCGAGCCCAGCAAGCCGCACCGCGAGCUGGAACAACACGGGGAUAAACAGAGAAUACCCACCUAUGACUUCAACUAUAUGUCCCAUUCUCAUAAACUGACUUUAUUCUUCAGCCUGGAGCCGUGUGUAAACACCGAAAGGUCUGUGUUUCGGGACUGACACGUCCAGCAUCAACUUCUCCGCCGGUAAACAGUUUAUUAACGGCUUAUUGAACCAUCUUUCAACUCUUUUGAGAUAUAUUAUCAGCAGCGCUGAAUGGGUCGCUCCAGUCUGCCCGGGCUGUCCAAUGGCAGAGAGGCUCCGGGAUGGGAGCCCCCUAUUGGCUCCCCACAUGAUCGAUCCGGGGCUGAUUGAUCGGUUUUAGGCCACAUUUGCGAGGAGGCGCAAAACAAAACAUCGUCCGCGAGUAGAUAACACACACUUUGCGUUUUCUGUCUGCUUCCACAGGCUGUAAAUCCACCAAAACACCGAAUAUUUUACCAAGACAUCUCUCUACCCCCCUCUCUCUCUGUCUCUCUCUCUCUCUCUCUCUCUCUCUCUCUCUCUCUCUCUCUCUCUCUCUCUCUCUCUCACACACACACACACACACACACACACACACACACACACACACACACACACCAAUCUCCUCAUCACUGACUUAAUUACUCAUUUCUAAAUGCACUCACACUUUGACUAAACUUCACCAAACCAAACAGAGCUACACUCACACUAACAUGUUGUCAACUUUCUUGAUCUCAGAGAACUUCUUAAUUUGAACUUUUUCUCUCUUUAUAAUGAAGCGUUCACUCGAGUUUCACGGUUUGCAGUGCAGAGGUUGUAAAAGUUUGGUCAAAUAUUGAUGAACUUUAAUUUAUGGAGGGGAAACUUAGAUUCUCGAGUAAUUUCAAGAAAAGCAAUGAUAUAAUUGAGUAAUGUGUGGAUGUAAAUUAACAAAACAGUUUGAAUUUACUACGUUAUCUCGUUAUAUUUGAUUCCUCGCCGGGAUAUAAAGGGGUACAAAUCUUAUUUAAUUUUAUCCCUCAAGUUUUUUUUAAUUAAGAAGUUUAGCUAUCUCAAAAUCUGCAUUAAAUAUUUAUGAUAUAUUUCAUGGCAUAUGAAGUAAUAUAAAAACGGGAUAAGUUACUUGGACAGGAUUAGUUUCAGGAGGGAAGACGUAAAGGAUUUCCAGAGAUUACAAUAGAUUGUUGUUUAUUUUUGUGGUUGUUUUCCUCAUGAGGCUCACCUACAACAGGUUCAUGCAACUUUUCAUGCAUUUUUUAGCCCAUGACACACGAAGAGAGAACGUGUAAAAGAGCCACAUUAUCUUCUGAUUAUGCUCAUAAGGUGUUGCUGGUCGGUGACAGCCUGCUUGAAGUUUGUUUUCCCCCCGUGCAGCGCGUCCAGUCAUUGAUCAUCUGCCCCCGGUUCUACAAAUGGUGUCAUAACAUGAUAAUGCGGCUUCACACAUUCGGCGGUGAUUCCUGUGGUAAAAUUCGACCGGUGGGAUCCGAUGGGGGCAAAUUUACAGGCAUGAAAUGACUAUCAAAGCCUCCUGCAGUCCGGCCGGCGAGGCUCCGGGGCGCGGACAGCAGAGAAGCACGAAGCCGCGCAGGACGCACGGACUAUUACGCACAGAGACACCGGAUCAAAUAAUAAACGGGGUUGACUUGUGCUCGUCGAGUUUGAUAAUUCAGUUAUUUAUUGGUGAGUAGAAGCUCUCCCUCUCUCAUUCUUUUUAUAUAUGAUUUUUUACGGCAUAUUAAAUUAUUUAAAAACGCAUUAUUGUCACUGAGAUAUUUUCUAGAAGGGAAGUUAUUUUUAAUUAAAGCAGAAUAUGCUGUUUAAAUCGACUUUCAGCUAAAUUUGUGGGUUUAGUGAAACACAAACAGGAUUAUAUAGCUCACUACACCACAAGGCACACUAAAUUUUAGAGGGUCAUUGAGAAAAGGCAAUGCUAAAUUAACAUGAAAGGAGACCACAUCAGCGCCCGACCACUGUAAAAUAACUACAAUGGCAUUAUAAAGCAAUUAAGCUACUUCAAUUAGCGUCUAUAAAAGCAAACUGGAGCUCCACUUUCUCUCCUGGAGUUGCUCUUUCGUGAGGGUCAGCGCAUUUUGGCAUCCUGAGAGAGAGCAGGGGGGCAAAUACCGUCAUUUCUGUUUAAUCCGCUUUGCGAUGACGGUAAUGCUGUGAGUCGUUUCAAUAAAAUCAGCAGGUAUUACUUUCAAACGGCUGAAUGUAAAUUGACAGCAUGUUUGACUGCCGAAACAAAUGGAAGCGUUACCACACGGCCUGUGCGCACUGACUUGUGCUGUUUGGAGACAAAGAGAAGUUACAGUCUUUAUGUUUAGUUUAUAAAAACACACCUAUCCAGCAGAAAAUCCCUGUCUGAGAUGUGUAUUCCUCACCGUGUAACAUAUUACUAUUUUAAGUCACCACCAGUUAUUUUUAGCUCAAAGACUGUUGUAAUAAAUAAUGCAAAUGUGAGUAUUAAUUUUAAUACGCUCAGUUUUUAGUAAAAAAAAAAAAAAAAAACUCCAGGUUAGAGAUACACUGUCCUGGCCCUUGUUAAGAUCUGUAUGUCUGUCUGUCUGUCUGUCUGUCUGCCGCUGUUUGGAGAAACAAGGAGUAACUGGCAGCCCGAGGAGUCAAACUGAGGUCAAACUUUUUGCAGCCCCGCAGCUCUGCGCCCAAACGUGUUGGGAUCUGCAAAGUCCACCGAGUCUCUCUGCUUUGUGUCACCGCUGCAGCACACAGGCAGGCAGACAGACCUGGUGCAAAGUUUUCACAGCUUAUCUAAUUAUAUGAAACUACUAGUAUAUUAUCGCCUGUCAGAAUAUGCAGCCGGAUUCAUUAGGGUGCGUUUAGGCGCUGUGUGAGUUCAGGUCUGAAAUUAUUCAGUCAUGAAAAAAAUAAAUAAAAGGCGCUCGGCUUUGUGCAAGCAAAUGAUUUCUGUUGCCUCGGAGAUCUAUUUUAAAAGUUAGUGUAAUGAGGUAUAACGCGAGGUGGCAUUCGGUGUCACAUGAGAAAGUCAUGUAUUACAUCCUAAUUCUCCAUCAUCGUUUACAAAUGAUCUACUAAUUUAUGAAAGUAUAUAGCUUAGAAUUAAUUUAAUACACAGUUUGUCUCAAAUUACUGGAACAGAAUGAUGGGAUGAGAUUUUUGCAAAUUAUUUUUUUAAAUAGUGGCACUAAUAUCUCGGGAGUGUAAUUACCUGGCACCGAAAUCAUCAUGGUAAAUACUAUGGCUUGUUGUUGAUGGUGUAAAACCAUAGCUUUGGUUCAUUGGCAAUAAUAUAAUGUAUCGCAAUAUUAAUGUUAAACUAUGGAAUCAGUGUAACUCUUUCCUCUGGGAGUUUUCAGUGCUGCAGUUUGGCCUAAAUGUUAAUGUGAGCUGCUCUCGCCUCUCACACACAUUAAUGCUUAAUCAUUUGCGCCUUCUACCGGAGCUGUUGGAAAUUACAUGGCAUGCAGAAAGACACAGGAAGAGUCUUGCUCAAAUAAUUAAGAUAAAAAGUUCAAGUGAAACCCCUGCAACAUAAAUACACUUGAAACUUUUUUUGGUAUACUUCUGUUGCAGUGUUGCAUUUUUAUCUUAUUCAGCAUGCUGCACUUAAAGCAGAAUAUAAUGUUUGAACCUAUAGAAGAAAUUGAUCAUAUUCAUAUUUCUUCACUUUGUUCAUGUAAAUAAUGCAAAUAAAUACAUGCAAAUAAAAUACAUAACGGUGCUAGCUGUC